AAACAGGUUUCAGGUGAGUAAUUAACGUUAAUUAAUUGUAGGCACUUGAAAUGAAAAGUGGACAUGAGUUGUUUUUCUUCUUCUUUUGUUUUUUUUUUUUUUUUUUUUUUACAAACAACGUCUGUCAGUGAUGCAAAUAUGUUUGCGCAGUGGGUGCAUAGUUUUCAUAAAGACUUAUUGUGGCAGGAUUAUAAAAAUACUUAAUGCAGUGUAAAAACUGCAAAUUCAGCAGUUCGAGUGAAGAGGUCCUUCUAAAGCACUAUCGGCUGCAUCACCCAAGCAUUUCCAGCUGGCCUUGUAUUCAUACGGGGUGUGUUUGUGUCUUCAGGACAGCAGGCUUAGAGACCGAGUCCUUGUGACCCUGAGGACAUACCUGCACCAUUAAACUUGCCUGAUGGCUUUACUACUGCGAGUUGUCAUUUCGUCAACUGAUGCCCGGCGACUUCAGCUUUUUGAAGUGCCACAGUCUGUGGAGUCCCUUAUUAGUAUUCUGAAGGAGAAACUGCAGUUACAAGGACAGUUUGUCUUGCAGUUUGAAGACCCUGAUUUUGGGAAUGCCCUUUGCAGCCUGACUGACAUCUCGGAACUGCCCAGUGACAAAGCAGUCUUGCAUAUUCAGUGGUGCAAUUCAUCAUUGUCUGAAACCAGCCUUUCUGUGUCAUCUCUUGAUACUGCUAGUGUUGAUGACUCUGAUGGAUCCUUGACCAGCUCCACAGCCUCUGUACAAAGGUAUUUGCGCACAACCUCAGAAUGGCCACUGCCAUUCCCCAUCCCACCCCUGUCAUUUGAUGU